GGUCUCACGGGCUUUUCUUCCUCACCAGCGCUGCUUUUCCUUCCCAGGCCCCGCGUGCUGUGCUGCGGGGUCCAGGUGUCUGCGCAGCCUGUGUCCCCGCGAGCUGUGGUGCCCGCAGGUCCCUGGAGAGGAUGCCGGGUCACCACGGAAGCGAACAAUGGCAGAUCAUAUCUCACUCUGGAAACAAACCCUACAAGUAUGAGGAAUGUGAAGAGGAUCCCUGUGAUAUUAAACCUUACAGGACAUCUCUGGUUCUCUCAAAAGUAUUCCAACACAAAUGUUAAUACCAACUGGAAAUGGACCUUAUAAAAGAGCAGUAUGUGGGAAAGCCUUCAGUUGUUCCAGUUCCAUUCAAAGGCAUGAAGGAACUUAUACUGGGCACAAACCCCAUAAAUCUGAAGCCUUUUCUUCUCUCACAGGAGUUCAAAGUCACAUGAAUACACACAGUGGAGAUAAACCUUUUAAAUGUAAGGGUCUUGUUAAGUUGCCAAGGACCUCCCUCAGUUACUGAGGCUGGCUUUGAACUUGGAAUCCUCAUGCAACAAUCUCUUGAGCCACUUGGAUUACAGGUAUGUGCCACGAUGCCCGACUCCUCAAUGUUUCUUGGCAACCUGAUGUAAAUCAGUGUGACUUGUUUGUGUAUGGUGUCCAGAAUUUAUCCAAUUCAGAAGCAAGAA